AUACUCACCUGGCAGGGGAGAUAUCACAGUCAUGAAGGUGGUUUUCCUGGGGUGAGGCUUAUCCAUUGCACUCUGGAUGUGCUGACCUCUGCGAUUUCCCCCAAAGUGUGAAAUCCUGCAUAAUUUGUGUUAGUGGGGGACUGCGUUCACACUCUCCCCUG
rnacentral:snRNA from 1 species